ensembl:processed_transcript
AGAUUCAAAAUGGCGAAUUUUCGGAAAAAUGGUUCGGAACUAAAUGGGCUGUGCAAAGUAUUAACAAACCAAACAAACAAAUAAAAACACAAAAUUCGUAUUAUAUAAUACAGAGGAUUUACCCGUUUUGUUUUAUUGUUUUCAAAGCGGCAGCUUUAAAUAGACAUAGCUGCAACCUCCUUUUGAAGGUGACUUCAACAUUCACAUUGAGAGACCGCAACCUGCUGACUUUCAGACUUUCCUUGCCUCUAUUGACCUCAAAAAAGCACCUACUUCUGCUACCCACAAAUCAGGUAAUCAGCUAGACCUUAUUUACACACGACAUUGCUUCACUGAUCAAACACUAGUAACUCCACUACAAAUAUCGGAUCAUUUCCCUCUGUCCCUCAACAUUCACAUUACUCCUGAGCCGCCACACACUCCAACACUGGUUGCCUUUCGCAGAAACCUACGAUCUCUCUCACCCAAUAGACUAUCCACCAUUGUUUCAGACUCUCUUCCUCCAUCUUGCAAACUUUCUGCACUUGAUACGAACAGUGCCACUGAUACACUCUGCUCCACACUAGCAUCAUGUCUAGACAGAUUAUGUCCUCGUGCAUCCAGGCCAGUCCGUGCCAGUCCUCCUGCACCCUGGCUCACGGAUGCUCUAUGUGAGCAUCGCUCAAAACUUCGGGCUGCAGAGAGAAUUUGGCGGAAAACUACAAAUCCUGCACAGCUCUUAACAUACCAAACUCUUCUGUCUUCUUUCUCGGCUUAGGUUACUUCUGCAAAGCAGACAUAUUUCCGUCAGAAAAUCAACAAUACCACUAAUCCUCGCCUACUUUUUAAAACCUUUUCCUCCCUCCUCUAUCCU